rnacentral:rRNA from 1 species
AGAGUUUGAUCAUGGCUCAGAACAAACGCUGGCGGCGUGCCUAACACAUGCAAGUCGUACGAGAAAGUCCGCUUCGGUGGGCAAGUAAAGUGGCGCACGGGUGAGUAACGCGUGGAUAAUCUACCCUUUAGUCCGGAAUAACUUAUCGAAAGGUGAACUAAUACCGGAUAAUAUCCCGAAUUCUCCGGAAAUCGGGAUCAAAGAAGGCCUCUGCUUGCAAGCUUUUGCUGAAGGAUGAGUCCGCGUACCAUUAGCUAGUUGGUAGGGUAAAGGCCUACCAAGGUUAUGAUGGUUAGCUGGUCUGAGAGGAUGAUCAGCCACACUGGAACUGAAACACGGUCCAGACUCCUACGGGAGGCAGCAGUGAGGAAUAUUGCGCAAUGGGGGCAACCCUGACGCAGCAACGCCGCGUGAGUGAGGAAGGUUUUCGGAUUGUAAAGCUCUGUCGAGCGGAAAGAAAUAUAUGGUGGCUAAUAUUCACCAUAUUUGACGGUACCGUUAGAGGAAGCACCGGCUAACUCCGCGCCAGCAGCCGCGGUAAUACGGGGGGUGCAAGCGUUGUUCGGAAUCAUUGGGCGUAAAGAGCGUGUAGGCGGCUGGACAAGUCAGAUGUGAAAGCCCUGGGCUUAACCCAGGAAGUGCAUUUGAAACUGUCUUGCUUGAGUAAGGGAGAGGAAAGUGGAAUUCCUGGUGUAGAGGUGAAAUUCGUAGAUAUCAGGAGGAACACCGGUGGCGAAGGCGACUUUCUGGCCCUAUACUGACGCUGAGACGGGAAAGCGUGGGUAGCAAACAGGAUUAGAUACCCUGGUAGUCCACGCUGUAAACGAUGUUCACUAGGUGUUGGGGGUAUUGACCCUUCCAGUGCCGCAGCUAACGCAUUAAGUGAACCGCCUGGGGAGUACGGUCGCAAGAUUAAAACUCAAAUGAAUUGACGG